GGAGCUUAGCAUUAAUUAAAAAAAAAAAAAGGUUUGGAUUGCUUUUACCCUCCUUAGCAGAGACAGAAAUUUUCAAAGAUAAAGUGAUAUUUGAACCAGGUCUUAUAAGAUGACCUCCAGGGGUCAGGGUGGGCAGAGGAAGACAUUUUAAAGAAAGGGAAUCAUGGCCUGCUGUAGGACAAAACCCUAUGCAUCACUGGACUGGAGCUUGCUUCCCUAGGAGAUGGAGGUGUCCCUUUAUAUAUUAUUUGGAACAAAAUAAGAAAAUAGCUGCCCACCUCCAAGGACUCUUCACUUCUGCUAGAAAGACAUCAAAUGCUCUUCUUUGCUAGACUAAGACUUCCUUGUCCUGAUUUUGCCAGCAUUUUCAAUGUCUGCUGCCAGAGCUCAGUGCCUCCUGCACUUCCUGCUGCCUGGCACUUGGAGCUGGAUGAGGUGUGUCGCACCUUUACACAGUUGGGUUCCCAUCCUGCCACAGCUUCCAAGGGCUAUUUCCUACCAGCUGGGGGCCUAGAGGGAAAGCUGGCUUCACAGCCAAGCAGGGUGCAAAUUCGCUGGAACUAAAAACCUGCUUUAGGGUGAGGGGAUAAGGAAUGAAAUCAUGGAAGCACAGCUGAAAGGGCAGAAAUGAAACAAGCUGUGGGCUGGAGAUGAUCUAAUGUCUACCUCCCUUCUCUUUAAGAAGGCUGCAUUUUCAAAAGCAUUUUAUAUAUAUUUGUAUCUUCUCAGUGCAAAAGCAAGCUUCUGCCUGGGUUUUCUCCUCUUCUCCAGGGCUUCCUGACUCAAGAAGGAAUAUAUUAAAUGACACUUUACUGUAUUAUAUUAAAAUAUUAAAUGACAUUUGAUUAUCAUAUCUAUUAGCAAUGCAUCCCUCCCAGGUAUCUUAAAAUUCUUGUGUUUGACAAUGUACUUGCUUUAGUAGUUAGAGAAUAAAUUAGUGAGAAGGUGGAUUCAUCUCAAUGAAACAUAUGAGCUAUGGUAAAAGAACUGGAUCAUAGCCAGUGUGACUACACAGCUCGGAUUUUCUAAGACUGUUCCAAUUGUAAAUAUUCUGUCCCAUGGUCUGUGUAAUAACUCUUGAACUUGUCUCAAUUUGGGUUCAGAAAAGCUGGCUAGUCAUAAAUGAUAUCCCCAAGGUUGAUCUGGAUACUUACAUACAAGAAAAUGGGGAAAGAAUUGGACCAGAUAUAAAGGGAAAGAGAAAGAUUCUAAAAAAAAUAAAUAAAAUAAAAAAAUAAUAAAAAAAACAAAGACAUGACAAAAGGAAAACCCACCAGUGGAUUUUAUUCAUUGACCUCCUUGGGAUACAGCUAAUGAGGACCAUAUCCUACAUGGCUUCACUAAGACCCUCGGUGUACCCAAGGACUGUGGGAAAACUGACAUCAAUAACCUUUGAUCCAAAAUGCUUCCCUUGAUACUUUCUGUAUCUAGCAGAAAACCGUAGACAAGAGGCACUAGACAAAGGAGUGUCACAAGGCCAGAGUGAUUAUUAACCAAUUAUUUUUAAAUUUCAUUUAUUUUUAGGCUAAAAAUGUAAUAAUGUGGCCAUUUGAAAACACAGUGUGUUCUAUGCUCUAUUAUUCCUUUAAGAUGUAAAAAGAAAAAAAUUAAAACAGAUUUCUGCACGUCUCAAAACUCCUACCACUUUAGUUAGGUGAAUGGAACCAUCAAGAUCACCCAGUCUAAUACUUCCCAAGUCUAAGUGCUCAUAAAAGUCAUGUGAGGAGAUUUGUAAAAACACAAACACUGGGGCCCUAGCCCUGGGGAUUCUGAUUCAAUAGAUCUUGGGUGUGGCCCAGGAAUGUAAUAUUUUUCUAAAGCUCUGAAAGAUUUUGAAAGGCAGCCGGGUUUGGAAACCACUGACCAUUACAAUCCCUUACUAACAUAAUCAUUGUCAUAAUCAUUAUUAUUAUUAUUUCCAUUAUUAGUAUUUUCACAUCAUUAAUAAUAAUAGUACCUGUAGCUAUAAUUUUACCUUGUCAAUAUGUUUCCAUAUCUAUUAUCUAAGUUUAACCUUACAACCACCCUAAUGGAUAGAGAAGGCAGGUGUUACUAGUCCCAUUUUACAGUUAAAAAUAUUAUUCACAAGAGAUACACAAAUGUGGUGGUCUACAUAUACAUGAAAUAUCAUCCUUCAACAAAAAGGAAAGAAGUGCCAAUACAUGGAACAACAUAGAUAAAAUUUGAAAACAUUAUUCUAAGUCAAAGAAGCACAAAAGACCACAUAGUAUUUGAUUCAAUUUAUAUGAAGUGCGCAGAAUAGGCAAAUAUGUGGAGACAGAAAGUAGAUUAACCAUUGUCUAGAGCUGAAGAGAUUGGAGAAAAUAUGCAGUGACAACUAAUUGGAAUAGGGUUUCUUUCUGAGGAAAUGAAAAUGGUCCAAAAUUAUGUUAUGAUGAUGGUUGCACCACUUGAUAAAUCUUCUAAAAAUCAUUGUACACUUGAAUGGGUAAAUUUCAUGUUAUGCAAAUUAUACCUUAAUACAGUUGUUUGUUUUUUUAAAGAGUUAUUUUAAAAAUAAUUAACAUGAGUCACAUUAAUGAUAAGAACAAACCUAUGAUCAUGUAGCUAACCAGCUAUAAACUAGGAUAACUCAAACAAUAAUAACUACCUUUUAUUAAGCACUACUGUGUGCCAGGCAGAGUAAUAUGCACUUUAUAUCUACUGUCUUAUUUAAUCCUCAAAGCCAUUAUUCCCACUUUACAGAUGACAAAAUGAGGCUUAGGGAAUCUAGAUGGUUUCCUCAAGGUCUUACAGGCUAGCACUGACAGAUCCUGAAUUUCAACCAAAUCUGAGUCCAAAGACUUCUGUUUUCAUUAUAAUCUGCUGCCUCUAAGACUAGAACCCAAUGACCCUGAUAUUUCACACCGGGAAGUCUGUCCUCCAUUCCCAGAUGGGCAGUUCUAAAAUAUAAAAUAGGAGAGAAAAAGACACAUUGUCUUCAUCCUCCUCAUCCCAGUGCCCUUUCCCAUUUGGCUCUGUGGCAGUGGGAAAAUUGAUCACAUUUCUUAACACUAUCCCAGACAUAGCCCUGAAUUUUCUUGACUGAAUAGGCAGUACUAAGGACUAAAUGGGUAUUGAGGUCCACUGUGCCUUGUAGUUGUACAUGACAUGUGAACAAAUGCAACUGAGCCCUAUUCACACUUCACAUAGUCCAGGAAUUCACCAAGAAGUACUACUGCACCCAGGAGUGACAGAUAAGAGGAGUUCAACCUAAUAUGACUCAAAGGUAAUCAAGGGAAUAGAAAGCUGCAGUCUUUUCAAAGUUACAUUUAUUGCCUACCUAUGUUGAACAGAGAUUAUCACCAGCCCCUCGUGAUACAUCAAUACGCACACACACACACACACACACACACACACACACACAUAUCUAGGGAGAAAAAUCAACAUGUAAAAAAUGGAUUUUGGGGAAAUUUUGUGCAUAACGCCUCUCUUAUAUCAGAGACAAGAAUAUUCUAAUACUUGGUCUGAAUACAAUGUCACUUGGUUCAGUACUCUUUCCUAAUGUCUAUUGUGGUCUUUAGAAUAUCACAGUUCAUGGAAAUGAGGACAUAUUGGGUGAUACAGGGUGCUUUGUCUGUGAAAGUUGUUACAGAGAAAUCCCUGAAAUUUGACUGAGAUGUGGAUUUUACAGUGACAAAAGACAGACACCCUAACAAUUACUCUGUUGGACAGCUCCCUCGACCUAGCUUCAAACCCUUCAAAGUUGCCGUGACUCUCCUUUAUUUUAAGACAUGCUCCAGGAUGGCCAGUCCUUUGAUGGUCAGGAAGGGCCUAGGAUUAACCACUGCCUGUCCAUUGAACACAUGAUGAAAUAAUCUAAGCUUCCUGGGCAUUGGUUUUCAAGGUCAGCUAUGUAGAAAGAUCUCGGCCAGGCACAGUGGCUCACACCUGUAAUCCCAACACUUUGGGAGGCCAAGGCGGGUGGAUCCUGAGGUCGGGAGUUCAAGGCCAGCCUGACUAACAUGGAGAAACCCCACCUCUACUAAAAAUACAAAAUUAGCCAGGCAUGGUGGCACAUGCCUGUAAUCUCAGCUACUUGGGAGGCUGAGGCAGGAGGCAGAGGUUGUGGUGAGCCAAGAUCAUGCCAUUGCACUCCAGCCUGGGCAACAAGAGCGAAACUCUGUGAAAGAAAGAAAGGAAGAAAGAAAGAAAGAAAAGAGAAAGAAAGAAAGAAAGAAAGAAAGAAAGAAAGAAAGAAAGAAAGAAAGAAAGAAAGAAAGGAAGGAAGUCGAACUUGAACCUUGAGACUCAGAUGCAGCAACAAUAUGGACACUGUCUUUUAUAAGUAACUGGUCCCAAUCACUUUGCCUGACAACUUGGGCAACAGCAGCUAUUUGAGAGAACUAGUGUCUUGUACAAAGGAAACCCUCAUUCUCCUUUGUCUAGGAACACAAGAAACUUAGAAGCAGUGAAGCAGAGGCAGGUUUUUCCCACAUCAAAUUCUUUAAGGUGCUAUUUCUCCUUCCUUGUUAGUUAUUUCAUAAUUUGGUUACUCUAGAGAUCUGCCUGCUUUAAACUCACCUUUGCUCAGGGAAUGAAAGGAGUGAGGAGAGAGGGCUGGAUAAUGGGGGAGGGGCUU
rnacentral:lncRNA from 10 species